rnacentral:rRNA from 1 species
UUCCGUAGGUGAACCUGCGGAGGGAUCAUUACAGAGUUCAUGCCCGCAAGGGUAGAUCUCCACCCUAUGUUAUUGUUACCAUUGUUGCUUUGGCGGACCGUCGCGAGACUACCGGCUUCGGCUGGUACGCGUCCGCCAGAGGAUCUCAAACCCUGAAUAUUAGUGUCGUCUGAGUACUAUAUAAUAGUUAAAACUUUCAACAACGGAUCUCUUGGUUCUGGCAUCGAUGAAGAACGCAGCGAAAUGCGAUAAGUAAUGUGAAUUGCAGAAUUCAGUGAAUCAUCGAAUCUUUGAACGCACAUUGCGCCCCUUGGUAUUCCGGGGGGCAUGCCUGUUCGAGCGUCAUUACAACCCUCAAGCGUAACUGCUUGGUCUUGGGCUUCGCCGCUAACCCGGCGGGCCUUAAAAUCAGUGGCGGUGCCACGAGGCCCUGAGCGUAGUAAAUACUCCUCGCUAUAGGUGUCUCGCGGUAUCCGGUCAAGAUACCCCCACAUUCUAAGUUGACCUCGGAUCAGGUAGGGAUACCCGCUGAACUUAAGCAUAUCAAUAAGCGGGAG